rnacentral:rRNA from 1 species
GAUGAACGCUGGCGGCGUGCCUAAUACAUGCAAGUCGAGCGAAUGGAUUAAGAGCUUGCUCUUAUGAAGUUAGCGGCGGACGGGUGAGUAACACGUGGGUAACCUGCCCAUAAGACUGGGAUAACUCCGGGAAACCGGGGCUAAUACCGGAUAACAUUUUGAACCGCAUGGUUCGAGAUUGAAAGGCGGCUUCGGCUGUCACUUAUGGAUGGACCCGCGUCGCAUUAGCUAGUUGGUGAGGUAACGGCUCACCAAGGCAACGAUACGUAGCCGACCUGAGAGGGUGAUCGGCCACACUGGGACUGGGACACGGCCCAGACUCCUACGGGAGGCAGCAGUAGGGAAUCUUCCGCAAUGGACGAAAGUCUGACGGAGCAACGCCGCGUGAGUGAUGAAGGCUUUCGGGUCGUAAAACUCUGUUGUUAGGGAAGAACAAGUGCUAGUUGAAUAAGCUGGCACCUUGACGGUACCUAACCAGAAAGCCACGGCUAACUACGUGCCAGCCGCCGCAGUAA